UGAUUUUUUUAAGAUUUUCAGUAUUUUUUUAUUAAUUGGCGCCAUGUGAAGCUAGAGCCUCGGAAUAAAAAAAUCGAUCUGCUCCUACGUGGACCUGGGCGUCACCAUUAUUUUCGGGCGAAGCUGCAAUUGAAUUGGACCACGUGCGGUUUGUGAGCCCGUCGGUGUCGUUUGUCUCCACUGUGUAGUGAUGUUUCCAAGAGUAGACGACUGUCGUGCUCGCUCAUCAGCCACACCUCGCUCUCGCUGGAUUUGUAUUUUUUGUUUUUUCCAUCAAUGCGACACUGUGACCUGUGGCCGGAUGUGGAAAUGUCACCUGCAUCUAUUGAAUACUCCUCCCGUACUCAAAAAUAAAGUCAUUUUGAAUAACGGAGAACCUACUGGCUCUGCCAAUGGGCAAGGCUGCAGCGGUGUGAUGUUCAACGAGACCAGCUGAUCCUUGCAGGGCAGCAUCUAGAGACUCAGCCUUGCAUUUUUUUGCUUUCAAUGGAUGGUUGUCAAAUAGGUCUAUUGGUCUUCUUUAGUCAAAAAAACUUUAUUUUGUCCUUUUUUGUGGGUCGCUGUAAGAUGUUUCUUUUACAGCUCGUGUGUUGGCCUAUGGGCCGAACCUUGUAAUAAUUGAAGCCGGGUAUGAACUAUCCUUUAUCUAAAAAAAAAUUAUCGAAAAGUGA